rnacentral:rRNA from 1 species
GACGAACGCUGGCGGCGUGCCUAAUACAUGCAAGUCGAGCGGACAGAAGGGAGCUUGCUCCCGGAAGUUAGCGGCGGACGGGUGAGUAACACGUGGGCAACCUACCCUGUAGAUCGGGAUAACAUCGAGAAAUCGGUGCUAAUACCGGAUAAUCAUUUGAAGUGCAUGCUUCGAAUGUAAAAGAUGGCUCCGGCUAUCACUACGGGAUGGGCCCGCGGCGCAUUAGCUAGUUGGUAAGGUAAUGGCUUACCAAGGCAACGAUGCGUAGCCGACCUGAGGGGGUGAUCGGCCACACUGGGACUGGGACACGGCCCAGACGGCUACGGGAGGCAGCAGUAGGGAAUCUUCCGCAAUGGACGAAAGUCUGACGGAGCAACGCCGCGUGAGUGAUGAAGGUUUUCGGAUCGUAAAGCUCUGUUGUUAGGGAAGAACAAGUGCCGUUUGAAUAAGGCGGCACCUUGACGGUACCUAACCAGAGAGCCACGGCUAACUACGUGCCAGCCGCCGCGGUAAUAC